GGAAUAUUGGACAAUGGGGGCAACCCUGAUCCAGCAAUGCCGCGUGUGUGAAGAAGGUCUUCGGAUUGUAAAGCACUUUCGACGGGGACGAUGGUGACGGUACCCGUAGAAGAAGCCCCGGCUAACUUCGUGCCAGCAGCCGCGGUAAUACGAAGGGGGCUAGCGUUGCUCGGAAUGACUGGGCGUAAAGGGCGUGUAGGCGGUUUACACAGUCAGAUGUGAAAUCCCCGGGCUUAACCUGGGAGCUGCAUUUGAUACGUGUAGACUAGAGUGUGAGAGAGGGUUGUGGAAUUCCCAGUGUAGAGGUGAAAUUCGUAGAUAUUGGGAAGAACACCGGUGGCGAAGGCGGCAACCUGGCUCAUGACUGACGCUGAGGCGCGAAAGCGUGGGGAGCAAACAGGUUAGAUACCCUGGUAGUCCACGCCUGUAAAACGAUGUGUGCUAGAUGUUGGGUAACU
rnacentral:rRNA from 1 species